UCAUCUCCUUCUGGGCACCGAUGAAAUUGGUGCCGUUAUCACUCCGAAUGCGUGUGGGCACCCCGCGGCGAUUCACGAAGUUGCGAAGACAAAUGAUAAAUGCGUCGGUUGACAGGUUUUCUGAUAGCUCGAUAUGGACUGCUCGCGUAGUAAGGCACGUGAACAAUGCGAUCCACCUUUUUUCCGUUCUGCGACCGAUGGUAACGUGAAAUGGGCCGCAGUAGUCUACUCCGCUGUACGUAAAAGGUCGAACAUAUGGUGUUAGUCGAUCCAGCGGCAACUGACCCAUCAACUUUACGGCGGGCUUAGCUCUGUCGUGUAUGCAGACGGCACUGCUUUUUGACGGUCCUCAAGACGUUGCGUAUGGCGGGAACCCAAAACCGUUGGCGUACCUCAUUCAUUGUAAGGUUGUCGUUUUGGUGGUGUCUCUUUUGGUGCGGCGUGGCUACUACUAGUCUCUAAUAAAAAUUACUAAGGAGGAAUAUG